UGCAGCUGGGAGAGGAGACCCAGCCCCAGGAGUCCAGGUGUUCCCAUUCGGUGAUCAGCACAGAACACACACACCUCACCAUGGACUUUGUGCUGGGCUGGGUUUUCCUGGUUGCUCUUUUAAAAGGUGUCCAGUGUGACGUACAGCUGGUAGAGUCUGGGGGAGACCUGGUGAAGCCUGGGGGGUCCCUGAGACUCACCUGUGUGGCCUCUGGAUUCACCUUCAGCAGCUACUACAUGAACUGGGUCCGCCAGGCUCCAGGGAAGGGGCUGCAGUGGGUCGCAUAUAUUAAUACUGAUGGAAGUAGCACAUACUACGCAGACUCCGUGAAGGGCCGAUUCACCAUCUCCAGUGACAACGCCAAGAACACGCUGUAUCUGCAGAUGAACAGCCUGAAGACCGAGGACACGGCCACAUAUUACUGUACGAGAAAGGGAAUGACUAGGAUAGUGAAUUGUGAUCCACUCAUUUGUUCACUAUCUGAUCAGAAAGGUGAGGCCAUCACUUGA